CUCCUUAUCGGACAGCAGUUUCUUAACUCCUUCCUCAGGAAUUUCUUUCAAAAUAAGGGUUUUCUUAAUUCCCCCAGGUAGAUCAACAACAUUCACUGCAUAACCCUCCUCGGUAGUCAAAGAAUCAUCAGCAAAUGGCCUUCCAACAAAAGAAUUCAAUAACGCAGACUUCCCAGCAUUCUUGGGUCCAAGGACAAAACAUUGGAAAACAUUUCUUUCUGUUUGUUGUUUCUUGCGAUCUAGACGCCGUCUCCUUGUUAUACG
rnacentral:misc_RNA from 1 species